rnacentral:rRNA from 1 species
AGGGCGGGACACGUGGUAUCCUGUCUGAAUAUGGGGGGACCAUCCUCCAAGGCUAAAUACUCCUGACUGACCGAUAGUGAACCAGUACCGUGAGGGAAAGGCGAAAAGAACCCCGGCGAGGGGAGUGAAAAAGAACCUGAAACCGUGUACGUACAAGCAGUGGGAGCCUCUUAAUGGGGUGACUGCGUACCUUUUGUAUAAUGGGUCAGCGACUUAUAUUCUGUAGCAAGGUUAACCGAAUAGGGGAGCCGAAGGGAAACCGAGUCUUAACUGGGCGUUAAGUUGCAGGGUAUAGACCCGAAACCCGGUGAUCUAGCCAUGGGCAGGUUGAAGGUUGGGUAACACUAACUGGAGGACCGAACCGACUAAUGUUGAAAAAUUAGCGGAUGACUUGUGGCUGGGGGUGAAAGGCCAAUCAAACCGGGAGAUAGCUGGUUCUCCCCGAAAGCUAUUUAGGUAGCGCCUCGUGAAUUCAUCUCCGGGGGUAGAGCACUGUUUCGGCAAGGGGGUCAUCCCGACUUACCAACCCGAUGCAAACUGCGAAUACCGGAGAAUGUUAUCACGGGAGACACACGGCGGGUGCUAACGUCCGUCGUGAAGAGGGAAACAACCCAGACCGCCAGCUAAGGUCCCAAAGUCAUGGUUAAGUGGGAAACGAUGUGGGAAGGCCCAGACAGCCAGGAUGUUGGCUUAGAAGCAGCCAUCAUUUAAAGAAAGCGUAAUAGCUCACUGGUCGAGUCGGCCUGCGCGGAAGAUGUAACGGGGCUAAACCAUGCACCGAAGCUGCGGCAGCGACACUAUGUGUUGUUGGGUAGGGGAGCGUUCUGUAAGCCUGUGAAGGUGUACUGUGAGGUAUGCUGGAGGUAUCAGAAGUGCGAAUGCUGACAUAAGUAACGAUAAAGCGGGUGAAAAGCCCGCUCGCCGGAAGACCAAGGGUUCCUGUCCAACGUUAAUCGGGGCAGGGUGAGUCGACCCCUAAGGCGAGGCCGAAAGGCGUAGUCGAUGGGAAACAGGUUAAUAUUCCUGUACUUGGUGUUACUGCGAAGGGGGGACGGAGAAGGCUAUGUUGGCCGGGCGACGGUUGUCCCGGUUUAAGCGUGUAGGCUGGUUUUCCAGGCAAAUCCGGAAAAUCAAGGCUGAGGCGUGAUGACGAGGCACUACGGUGCUGAAGCGACAAAUGCCCUGCUUCCAGGAAAAGCCUCUAAGCAUCAGGUAACAUCAAAUCGUACCCCAAACCGACACAGGUGGUCAGGUAGAGAAUACCAAGGCGCUUGAGAGAACUCGGGUGAAGGAACUAGGCAAAAUGGUGCCGUAACUUCGGGAGAAGGCACGCUGAUAUGUAGGUGAAGCGACUUGCUCGUGGAGCUGAAAUCAGUCGAAGAUACCAGCUGGCUGCAACUGUUUAUUAAAAACACAGCA